rnacentral:rRNA from 1 species
AAGUGAGUAGUGAAAUCUGGCGGCUCAACCGUACAGGCUAUUAUUCAAACUCACAAACUCGAGAAUGGUAGAGGUAACUGGAAUUUCUAGUGUAGGAGUGAAAUCCGUAGAUAUUAGAAGGAACACCAAUGGCGUAGGCAGGUUACUGGACCAUUUCUGACACUGAGGCACGAAAGCGUGGGGAGCGAACCGGAUUAGAUACCCCGGGGUAGUCCACGCCGUAAACGAUGGGAUACUA